AGAGUUUGAUCAUGGCUCAGAAUGAACGUUGGCGGCGUGGAUUAGGCAUGCAAGUCGAACGCGAAGACCUUCGGGUUUGUAGCGUGGCGAAAGGGGCAGUAAUGCGUAGGUAACCUACCUCCAGGACUGGGAUAUACGGUGGAAACGUCGGGCAAUACUAGACGUGGUCACGAGUUCGCAUGGACACGUGAUCAAAGGUUUUCCGCCUGGAGAGGGGCUUACGUCCUACCAGCUAGUUGGUGAGGUAAUGGCUCACCAAGGCGAUGACGGGUAGGGGGUGUGAGAGCACGACCCUCGCCAUUGGGACUGAGACACUGCCCAGACUCCUACGGGAGGCUGCAGUCGAGAAUCUUCGGCAAUGGGCGCAAGCCUGACCGAGCGACGCCGCGUGGGGGAUGAAGGCCUUCGGGUUGUAAACCUCUGUUGGGGGGGAACAUAAUGAGUGAACCCCUGAGGAAGCACGGGCUAAGUUCGUGCCAGCCGCCGCGGUAAUAC
rnacentral:rRNA from 1 species